UUUUUCCUGUCAUCGUAUUUAUAAUUUUCAUUUCCAUUAACCAGGUAAAUAAAGUUUGUUAAGUGAAGAUAAUCCUCCCUAUUCUUUUUCUAAUGAAAUAUCAAUGAGAAUUCCAUUUAAAAUCAUUUGUGGAAAGAGAUGUGAAUAGUUAGCACUAUAAAUAACGUUUUUGUCUAUUUUUAAAUAGGAUCUGAUGCCAUCAAAAGUCACAAGAACUGGCCGGGCAAGGUGGCUCACGCCUGUAAUCCCAGCACUUUGGGAGGUCAAGGCUGGCGGAUCACGAGGUCAGGAGAUUGAGACCAUCCUGGCUAACACAGUGAAACCACGUCUCUACUAAAAAUACAAAAAAUUAGCCAGGCAUGGUGGCGGUCGCCUGUAAUCCCAGCUACUCGGGAGGCUGAGGCAGGAGAAUGGCGUGAACCCGGGAGGCGGAACUUGCCGUGAGCCGAGAUCACGCCACUGCACUCCAGCCUGGGCGACAGAGUGAGACUCUGUCUCAAAAAAAAAAAGUCACGAGAACUGUCUGGAAAUGUGAGCAAUUUCAAGCGAGAGAUUAGUUGUUUUACAAAGUUCAUUAAAAUAUGCAUCAACCAUUCUUCAUCUCUUUGAAUAAAGCUGGAAUUAUGAGACAAAGAAAAAAGAGAACGAGAGGGAGAAAAUGUUCUAUCUUACUUCAACAGGCUCCGUUUUAUUGCAGGUAAUCUAUUAUGUUAGCAUUUUGAUUUACCUGUAAAAUACAUACAUUUAUCACAGUUUCUAAUUGUUUUGUGAAUGGUAUUUAGCUUAUAAAAGAAUAAAAGCUGUGACUAGCAAUGCUUUUGCUACACUUUCCUGGUUUAGUAAAUCUUAAGAAAAGUUCAGCAUUGCCUCCACUGGGACUUUUCUUCUUUAUGGAAACCAAAGGUGCAAACUUUAGAAAUAAAUAGAUGCUGAAGAGCGUCUAAUAUGAAUGUGCUUGAAUAAUUUACAUGAUGCUUUGGUGUUUUGUUGAAGAACAUUAGACAGAAAGACUUGUGUAAUAUGGCCUAAUGUGUAUUUAUUACAUGAACUUAAAAUAUACCUGAG
rnacentral:lncRNA from 10 species